GUCUUCGGAGCCCAAGGAGGCGGGGCGGAGGCGGGGCUUGGCGCUGGUGGAGAUUACUGUGGGUAGGUGGGUUGAGACCAGGGGACUACGGUCGGCGUUGGGCACAGCGGACCCGAAACAAAGGACUCUCGGCCCCCUCUCGGCGCGGCGUCUCGUCUGCUGUGGCUGAGCCGUUAGGUCGAGUGUGCGCGGCCGACCGGUGCCUUCGCCGCGGCAUCUCGGUGGGCUCCUGCUCGGUCCCCACGGCCAGCGCCGCGGUGCGGGACCCGGCUCGGCGGCACCUGCUGCUUAGGGAGCCAGCGGCCCGGCCCCGUGCUCAUGAUGGGGCUGAUUUUCGCUAAACUGUGGAGCCUCUUCUGUAAUCAAGCUCUUGUCAUCUUUGGUACCUGCCACCACCAUGAAGGGUUGCCCCUGUGCCACACCACCCUGCCUUGGAGCCAGCAGAGUACAGACUGAAACCUCCAAAUACUGUAAGCUAAAUAAACUUUUCCUUUCUUCA